rnacentral:rRNA from 1 species
CGACGAACUUCUUUAUCCCGAGUGCUUGCACUCACCGAUAAAGAGUUGAGUGGCGAACGGGUGAGUAACACGUGGGCAACCUGCCCAAAAGAGGGGGAUAACACUUGGAAACAGGUGCUAAUACCGCAUAACCAUAGUUACCGCAUGGUAACUAUGUAAAAGGUGGCUAUGCUACCGCUUUUGGAUGGGCCCGCGGCGCAUUAGCUAGUUGGUGGGGUAAAGGCUUACCAAGGCAAUGAUGCGUAGCCGAACUGAGAGGUUGAUCGGCCACAUUGGGACUGAGACACGGCCCAAACUCCUACGGGAGGCAGCAGUAGGGAAUCUUCCACAAUGGGCGAAAGCCUGAUGGAGCAACGCCGCGUGGGUGAAGAAGGUCUUCGGAUCGUAAAACCCUGUUGUUAGAGAAGAAAGUGCGUGGGAGUAACUGUUCACGUUUCGACGGUAUCUAACCAGAAAGCCACGGCUAACUACGUGCCAGCAGCCGCGGUAAUACGUAGGUGGCAAGCGUUAUCCGGAUUUAUUGGGCGUAAAGGGAACGCAGGCGGUCUUUUAAGUCUGAUGUGAAAGCCUUCGGCUUAACCGGAGUAGUGCAUUGGAAACUGGGAGACUUGAGUGCAGAAGAGGAGAGUGGAACUCCA